UAGCUAGGGGCAGAGUGUGUUCAGCAAUGCAUGAGGUCAUGGGUUCAAUCUUUGGAUCUGGAUUAGAGAGAGAAUAUAAAUGCAGAAUUUGUGGAAUUAACAUGAAAAUAUAUAGUUCUGUUUUCAUACCGGUUAUAAAUGGGUUACAAUUUGGCCAGUGAUACAAAGCUUGGGGCCAACAGAGUCUUCCAAGGAAGAAGGGCUCCCUGGGAUCAGUUUCUAGAAGCUUGUGAUACUUUGGCAUACAACAGGUUUCCUUUGUGGAUUUCUACAUGACUCAUAAUAAAAUAUUAAUCAGAUGAUUUGUUUGUACUUUUAUAGGUUGCUUCUAAAACCUUGCCUUUUUAUAAAGACUACUUCAAUGUUCCUUAUCCUCUACCUAAAAUUGAUCUCAUUGCUAUUGCUGACUUUGCAGCUGGUGCCAUGGAGAACUGGGGCCUUGUUACUUAUAGGGAGACUGCAUUACUUAUU